UCGGCCGCCCCCUCCAUGAUUCUCAAAAGAUGAGUUUUUCUUUGAUCUUGAUUCCUUCUAAUAAAGGGAUCAAGGUCUCGUUUUUCAGUGUGGUGUACAUCAUCUUUGGAGGAUUCUUGCGUUGGAAUCUUGGGUGAACGUUGAACGAAACUAACCAAUUGGAAACUUGAAAUUUAAGAGCAAGGGCAUUCUAUGAUGACAAUAAAAGGGGAAAACCAGUCGAAGAUUGGAAGAAGUGACAACAGGAGGGAUUAUUGUUGUCAUGCUUGAUGCUCUCACUAGGUAUUCUUUGGGCCUCGUUGUAUGGGCAUUGAUGAUGCUUGUAUCUAGCAUCUUGGAUUUGGUCCAAGGUGGAGAUUGUUAAUAUUUGUGGCCCAAAUCGCUUAGGCCCAGCCCAUCUCACCAGAUGGCUGGGUCUAGUCCGCGUCAUGAUGCUUGGCCCAUUUGCUCGUGCUCCUAGCCCAUUUCCUAACCCGGGCCACUAAGGUUACUUGCUUUGCUCGCUUUUAUUAGAUCUGUCUCUUUCUCUCUUUGUCAUAACCCUGAUCCCUUCACCCGACUCAUCGUUUCUCCCAGUCUUCUCUCUCUCUCUCUCUUCUUCUCUCUAGUGUUGGGUCUCCCUUCGCCUUUUCUUGUUUCUCUCCACUACCAUUUUUCCUAGAUUCUCUUUUGGAAUUAAAUUAGUUGUUUCUCUAUAUAUUGUUGGCUUCACUCUGGUUUAAGUCCAGAACUUGACACCCUUCUUCUCUCUCUAAUCUCCUUCUGUGUUUCUUGAAGUUCUUCAUGAACUAGCUUUAGUGGUUGACAGAUCUUGUAGAUCUAAGCCUUUGUGGCCCCAGGAUUAAUCUAAUAGCCUUUGUGGCAGUAGUGGUGCCUUUGUGGCUCAGUAGUUCCAAGCAACCGUGAGUGUGGGUUGAGGCCUUUAUGGCUUUGGGUUUACAUUGACUAGAUCUAGCUUUUUAAGCGUUAUUCCUGUAAACCAUUGUAUUUCCUUUCUCUUUUAUUCUAUGUCAUAUUUAUUGUAAUUUUAAUUUAUGUACUUGUAUAGAUCUGUAAAUCUUAUUCUGAAAAUUGUUGAAUAAGGAGUUU